rnacentral:rRNA from 1 species
CGCCGCGUGAAUGACGAAGGCCUUCGGGUCGUAAAGUUCUUUCGACAGGGAAGAAAAUUCCUAUAAGUAACUGUGUAUGUAUUGACGGUACCUGUAUAAGCAGCCCCGGCUAACUCCGUGCCAGCAGCCGCGGUAAUACGGAGGGGGCGAGCGUUGUUCGGAGUGACUGGGCGUAAAGAGCACGUAGGCGGUGUUGUAAGUCAUUAGUCAAAGACUAGAGCUCAACUUUAGUAAGGCUAGUGAUACUAUAAUACUAGAGUAUCAGAGAGGAUUGCAGAAUUCCUGGUGUAGCGGUGAAAUGCGUAGAUAUCAGGAGGAAUACCGUUAGCGAAGGCGGCAAUCUGGCUGGAAACUGACGCUGAGGUGCGAAAGCGUGGGUAGCAAACAGGAUUAGAUACCCUGGUAGUCCACGCUGUAAACGAUGGAUGCUAGGUGU